rnacentral:rRNA from 1 species
GAUGAACGCUAGCGGCAGGCUUAACACAUGCAAGUCGAGGGGUAUUGGUUUUCGGACCAAGAGACCGGCGCACGGGUGCGUAACGCGUAUGCAAUCUACCUUUUGCAGAGGGAUAGCCCCAGAGAAAUUUGGAUUAAUACCUCAUAGUAUAGUACUUUGGCAUCAAGGAACUAUUAAAGUCACAACGGCAAAAGAUGAGCAUGCGUCCCAUUAGCUAGUUGGUAAGGUAACGGCUUACCAAGGCUACGAUGGGUAGGGGUCCUGAGAGGGAGAUCCCCCCACACUGGUACUGAGACACGGACCAGACUCCUACGGGAGGCUGCAGUGAGGAAUAUUGGACAAUGGGCGCAAGCCUGAUCCAGCCAUGCCGCGUGCAGGAUGACGGUCCUAUGGAUUGUAAACUGCUUUUAUACAGGAAGAAACACUCCGACGUGUCGGAGCUUGACGGUACUGUAAGAAUAAGGAUCGGCUAACUCCGUGCCAGCAGCCGCGGUAAAG